GUAAGAGAUUUCCCCUUAAAUAUAAUGGGAGGAGCAACUGCAGAAAAGACGCAGAAGCCAAUAUGAAUCAGGUAAACUAGGAAAAACCACCCAAACUUCAGAGCACUAUCGGUCCUAGUAGCACGAUAGAGAGGACGAUACCACCCAACAUAUGCUCCAGGUACACCUGAUAUGAAGUAGAUGAUCGCAAGGAACCAUAUUGUUGGACCUUCACCAUUGAUCCAAGCAGUUGUAACUGCUACAAUGUUCCACAAAAGGCACACAACCAA
rnacentral:misc_RNA from 1 species